AACACGUGAGAAUCUACCCAUUAGUGGGGGAUAACCUGGGGAAACCCAGGCUAAUACCGCAUAAUCUCUACGGAGGAAAGCAGGGGAUCUUCGGACCUUGUGCUGAUGGAUGAGCUCGCGUCGGAUUAGCUUGUUGGUGAGGUAAUGGCUCACCAAGGCGACGAUCCGUAGCUAGUCUUAGAGGAUGAUCAGCCACACCGGGACUGAGACACGGCCCGGACUCCUACGGGAGGCAGCAGUGGGGAAUCUUGGACAAUGGGGGCAACCCUGAUCCAGCCAUGCCGCGUGUGUGAAGAAGGCCUUCGGGUUGUAAAGCACUUUCAGUAGGGAGGAAGGCUUAUCCUUAAUACGGAUGAGUACUUGACGUUACCUACAGAAGAAGCACCGGCUAAUUUCGUGCCAGCAGCCGCGGUAAUACGAAAGGUGCGAGCGUUAAUCGGAAUUACUGGGCGUAAAGCGCGCGUAGGCGGUUUGCUAAGUCAGAUGUGAAAGCCCCGGGCUCAACCUGGGAACUGCAUUUGAAACUGGCAGGCUAGAAUACAGUAGAGGGAGGUGGAAUUUCCGGUGUAGCGGUGAAAUGCGUAGAGAUCGGAAGGAACACCAGUG
rnacentral:rRNA from 1 species